rnacentral:SRP_RNA from 2 species
GCUGGGCGUGGUGGUGCAUGCCUGUAAUCCAAGCUACUAGGGAGGCUGAGGCAGGAGAAUCGCUUGAGCCCAGGAAGCAGAGGUUGCAGUGAGCCGAGAUCACGCCACUGCACUCCAGCCUGGGUGACAGAGCGAGAGUCCGUCUCAA